rnacentral:ncRNA from 2 species
GCUUCCCAUUUAGCGCCAUGUACCUGUCGGAAGGAGACAGGUUGACGAGGAGAAAGGUGAUCGAAAAUUCGGCGGAUGCCUUUCCGCACGGCUUCCGGUGCGUGAUAUGACGGAGAAAUAUGCGGGCGACUGCAAAACAAAGACGGCAUAACUUGGAAGA